AUCGAAAUAAGAAAAGGCAAAAGGGACUAAAUCACGAUGCACGCUGAAAGAGGGGGGACCAAAACGGAAAAUAAACCUAAAUCUCAAAACGUGGCGUUUCAGGGGACUAAAAUGAAAAAGAAACAAAACUGCGGAGCUAAAUUGCAAAACUACAGAGAACUGCCUCGAAAGUGCCACAAACUCGGAGGGACUUAUUGCGCAAAUACCCCAUUUAUAGAAAACGCGCGGAUCCUCCCCUGGGUCGGGUCACCGCGGGGUCAGGGAAGCCUAAAACGGCACCGUUUCGUGGGGGGUUAUUUAAACAGAAAUUUUUACAAAAAAUACAUUUUUUACAGUUAAAAUAAAUAAAAAACUCAAAUCACUCUCUUCCCCUCUCUGUUAAAAACGCUUCCUCUCCCCUUUGAAUCCGGCCACACCAUCGGUGAGCUCGCGCGAAGGCCUCGCCGUGGCCUCAUCGCGGCUUCGCGUUGCCGGAAAAUGAAAAGAUAAGGGGAGGGGCUGCUCCUUUUUGCCCGUCUCUCCUCUGACGCGGCCUAAACGAAACCCCAGAGGAUUUCUACGGCUCCAGCGUAGAAGGGAUCACCGACGGUGGCGCGACGCAAGUGAAAGGUGACGGCGCAAGUGGAGGUCGACUUGACUGCAGGCGGCGCCGAUGGGACGGUGGCUGUGUCAGAAGGCCAGGGGUCAAAACCUUAGAGGCGGCGCCUAGGGUUUCAGUCUCUGAAACCCUAGGCAGAUUUUUUUGGGGGGGAGUUGGGCCUUAGUUAUUGGGCCGGUCAGGUUUGGGUCUCGGGUUAGGCUAGUUGGAGUCCGGGUUUGGGUUGUUUUGUAAUGGGCUUGGUUUUAAUUUGAGUAUUGGGCCGAGUAAAAAUUUGGGCUGUACAAUCUCUAUGAUUGAACAUUUAAAACCCAAGUCCGACUCAAUUUUUAUGUUUCUAAUAUUUUAUAUUAUGUUAUUUUUAUAUAUUAUACCAUUUAUAAAAAUUAAA